CCCUUAGAUGUUCUGGGCAGCACGCGCGCUACAAUGGUCUUCGCAAACGGAUGCAUUCUCGAAGGAGAAUGCCAAUCUUGGAAUCUAUGCCUUGGUCGGGACAGUUGCUUGCAAUUUUUCGACUCGAACCAGGAAUUCCUUGUAAUCGUGAGUCAUCACAUCACGAUGAAUACGUCCCUGCCCUUUGUACACACCGCCCGUCGCUCCUACCGAUCGAAGAGUUAGGUGAAUUGUUUUGAUCGAUAAGAUUUGACUAUGGUCAACUCUCGUUGUGAAAUUCUGUGAAUCUGACUGUUUAGAGGAAGGAAAAGUCGUAACA
rnacentral:rRNA from 1 species